AGAGCGAACGCUGGCGGCAGGCUUAACACAUGCAAGUCGAGCGGGCGUAGCAAUACGUCAGCGGCAGACGGGUGAGUAACGCGUGGGAACGUACCUUUUGGUUCGGAACAACACAGGGGAAACUUGUGCUAAUACCGGAUAAGCCCUUACGGGGAAAGAUUUAUCGCCGAAAGAUCGGCCCGCGUCUGAUUAGCUAGUUGGUGAGGUAACGGCUCACCAAGGCGACGAUCAGUAGCUGGUCUGAGAGGAUGAUCAGCCACAUUGGGACUGAGACACGGCCCAAACUCCUACGGGAGGCAGCAGUGGGGAAUAUUGGACAAUGGGCGAAAGCCUGAUCCAGCCAUGCCGCGUGAGUGAUGAAGGCCCUAGGGUUGUAAAGCUCUUUGUGCGGGAAGAUAAUGACGGUACCGCAAGAAUAAGCCCCGGCUAACUUCGCGCCAGCAGCCGC
rnacentral:rRNA from 1 species